GUUCAGUGAGGGAGGUCCAUGAAAUAAAUGCCCUCUCCUCGGCUUGGGUGGGCCAGGCCCUGCCAGCUGCCUUCACUUUUGGCUGCAGAAAGCCUGCCAGGCUGCAGUGUGCAAAGGCCUGGAACAAUGACUGGUAGCAUCAGCUAUUUUAAUGCAGAGUUAGGCACACAAUCCUUGCUAAAUAUAAAUACAAAGGAAAACCCCAAAGUAGCUAAGCCUAUUUUAAUACCUUUUAUUUUUCUCAUUCCUGGUUCUUUUGUCUUCUCCUUGCUACUUGAGAGCUGCGGUUCACACAGGGCCCACCCUGAGUGUUGUCAGGGCUCCCACCCAUGUCCUGGUCACACAGCCCAAUCUUGAUCAUUGGCAGAAAUGGAGUCAGAGGAAAGAGAUCCAACAACUAUUUCUUUGUUGUUUUAAUGCAAUUUACAUUAAAUCAAAAGUGAAUGAUGGCACCACUUCUGAGACUUGGUUGCUGAAAAGGAGCCUAGGGUUAGUGUAGCCUCUUCCCAUCCCUCCCCUCUUCCAACUCUACACAGUCCCUCCAUGGGGAGAAGGGAUGUUUGCAAAUCACCAACCUAAGAAAUGGCCAGCAAAUGAAGGAUGCCGUCCUCCCAGUGGGAGAUAACAAAUCCAAAUGCCACUGGGCUCCUGGAGGUGUCACCACUUACCUUUCAGAAAAGAAACAAGAGCAACAGACACCUCUGGGGAUGUCUACCUAAACUGGAACCAGUGACCCCUCUUUUCUCUAGGAAAUGAUCUUCACCCAUGUGGGGUCAAGUAGCUUCCACGUACUAUGUUAUUACAAUUUUUCUCUGCCCACUCCACCUCCUCCACAGAUGAUAGGAUCAGGGGUGGAACCUGGCCAGUCAGAGCCUCGUCCCUGGAAAUUGGAACAGGGAGAAAGAGAGGGAAGGAGAGAGACAAAGUCUAACAUCUGGGACCCCUCAGUGAGUUUCUGUUGACUCUCUUUUUUUCCAGAGUGUGGGUCACACUUUCCUUUUUCUUUGCAUGUCUUGCAAUUUUUUGUUGACAAAUGGACAUUUUAGAUAAUAUGGCCAAACACGGUGGCUCACACCUGUAAUUUCAGCACUUUGGGAGGUCGAGGUGGUAGGAUCCUUUGAGGCCAGGAGUUUGAGACCAGCCUGGGCAACACAGUGAGACCCUGUCUCUACAAAAAAUACAAAAAUUAGCUGGUGUGCCUGUAGUCCCAGCUACUCAGAGGCCGAGAAGUUGCAGUGAGCCAAGAUUGUGCCACUGCACUCCAGCCUUGGUGAUAGAGCAAGACCAUGUCUCAGUAAAUAAAUAAAUAAAAUAAGGCCGGGCACAGUGGUUCAUGCCUGUAAUGCCAGCACUUUGGGAGGCUGAGGCAGGCAGAUCACCUGAGGUCAGAAGUUCAAGACCAGCCUAGCCAACAUGGUGAAACCCCAUCUCUACAAAACUACAAAAAUUAGCCAGGCAUGGUGGUGCAUGCCUGUAAUCCCAGCUACUCGGGAGGUGGAGGCCGGAGAAUCCCUUGAACCCGGGAGGUGGAGGUUGCAGUGAGCCGAGAUCGCACCAUUGCACUCCAGCCUGGGCAACAGAGUGAGACUCCAUCUCAAAAAAAAUUAAAAUAACAUAAAAAUAAAUAAGUAAAUAAAUAAAAUAUAUUGUAACAACUGUGGAUUCCAGUUCCCUUUCCCAGCAUUGUUGUUGCCGUCUUGUUUGUUCAUUUAGUGGCUGGCUUGGACUGAUUCUUUGGAGUCUGCCUUCUCCUCACAGUGUGCAGCUGCUGCUAUUUCUGCUGCUUUUCUUUUUUAAGAAAACAAGUUUUAUUUUUAUAAUUAGAACGUUCUAAUGAAAAUAUUAUUGUAAUAUUAGUAACCUUUAUUCCGGGCGCUGAUCUGCUCAGUAGUUUUCCUGCUUGUUUUUAUUUAUUUAUUUUAUUUUUUAAGACAGAGUCUCACUCUGUCACCUGUCACCCAGGCUGGAGUGCAGUGGUGCAAUCUUGGCUCACUACAAACUCCGCCUCCAUCCCCACCCCACUGGGCUCAAGCGAUUCUCCCACCUCAGCCUCCCGAGUAGCUGGGAUUACAGGUGUGCACCACCAUACCCAACUAAUUUUUGUGUUUUUAGUAGAGACAGGGUUUCGCCGUGUUGCCCAGGUUGUUCUCCAACUCCUGACCUUAAAUGAUCCAUCUGCCUCAGCCUCCCAAAGUGCGGGGAUUACAGGUGUGAGCCACUGCGCCCAGCCUGCUUGUUUUUAUUUUUAAGCCUGACUUUCUUUUUAUUUAUUUAUUUAUUUUUUUUUUUUUUUUAUUGAUCAUUCUUGGGUGUUUCUCGCAGAGGGGGAUUUGGCAGGGUCACAGGACAAUAGUGGAGGGAAGGUCAGCAGAUAAACAAGUGAACAAAGGUCUCUGGUUUUCCUAGGCAGAGGACCCUGCGGCCUUCCGCAGUGUUUGUGUCCCUGGGUACUUGAGAUUAGGGAGUGGUGAUGACUCUUAACGAGCAUGCUGCCUUCAAGCAUCUGUUUAACAAAGCACAUCUUGCACCGCCCUUAAUCCAUUUAACCCUGAGUGGACACAGCACAUGUUUCAGAGAGCACAGGGUUGGGGGUAAGGUCACAGAUCAACAGGAUCCCAAGGCAGAAGAAUUUUUCUUAGUACAGAACAAAAUGAAAAGUCUCCCAUGUCUACCUCUUUCUACACAGACACAGCAACCAUCCGAUUUCUCAAUCUUUUCCCCACCUUUGCCCCCUUUCUGUUCCACAAAACUGCCAUUGUCAUCAUGGCCCGUUCUCAAUGAGCUGUUGGGUACACCUCCCAGACGGGGUGGUGGCCGGGCAGAGGGGCUCCUCACUUCCCAGUAGGGGCGGCCGGGCAGAGGCGCCCCUCACCUCCCGGAUGGGGCGGCUGGCCGGGCGGGGGGCUGACCCCCCCACCUCCCUCCCGGACGGGGCGGCUGGCCGGGUGGGGGGCUGACCCCCCCCACCUCCCUCCCGGUCGGGGCGGCCGGCCAGGCAGAGGGGCUCCUCACUUCCCAGUAGGGCGGCCGGGCAGAGGCGCCCCUCACCUCCCGGAGGGGGCGGCUGGCCAGGCAGGGGGCUGACCCCCCCACCUCCCUCCCGGACGGGGUGGCUGCCGGGCGGAGACGCUCCUCACUUCCCAGACGGGGUGGCUGCCGGGCGGAGGGGCUCCCCACUUCUCAGACGGGGCGGCUGCUGGGCGGAGGGGCUCCUCACUUCUCAGACAGGGCGGUUGCCAGGCAGAGGGUCUCCUCACUUCUCAGACGGGGCGGCCGGGCAGAGACGCUCCUCACAUCCCGGACGGGGCGACAGGGCAGAGGCGCUCCCCACAUCUCAGACAAUGGGCGGCCGGGCAGAGACGCUCCUCACUUCCUACAUGGGAUGGCGGCCGGGAAGAGGCGCUCCUCACUUCCUAGAUGAGAUGGCGGCUGGGCAGAGACGCUCCUCACUUUCCAGACUGGGCAGCCAGGCAGAGGGGCUCCUCACAUCCCAGACGAUGGGCGGCCAGGCAGAGACGCUCCUCACUUCCCAGACGGGGUGGCGGCCAGGCAGAGGCUGCAAUCUCAGCACUUUGGGAGGCCAAGGCAGGCGGCUGGGAGGUAGAUGUUGUAGCGAGCCGAGAUCACGCCACUGCACUCCAGCCUGGGCACCAUUGAGCACUGAGUGAAGGAGACUCCGUCUGCAAUCCUGGCACCUCGGGAGGCCGAGGCUGGCGGAUCACUCGCGGUUAGGAGCUGGAGACCAGCCCGGCCAACACAGCGAAACCCAAAAAAUACGAAAACCAGUCAGGCGUGGCGGUGCGCGCCUGAGGCACUCGGCAGGCUGAGGCAGGAGAAUCAGGCAGGGAGGUUGCAGUGAGCCGAGAUGGCAGCAGUACAGUCCAGCUUCGGCUCGGCAUCAGAGGGAGACAGUGGAAAGAGG
rnacentral:lncRNA from 1 species